UAUGAAUUAAAAUCUGGGUAUGUUUAAUGUGUGCAGAAUUUUAAAUAUGGUUUUGACCAUAUUUUUGUUAUGAAAUCAGAUUUGAUAUUAAACUGAUUUUCUUAAAAUUUUGAUCUGAUUUUGAUUAGAUCUUAAUGAAUAGGAAUCAGAUCUGGUUUUAUAAUUUUUCUAUAAAAUUUUGGAUCUGUUUUGAACAAGUAUUCAAAAUCUGUUUUGAACAGAUUUUUUCAAAGACUUGUAAAUCUAUUUUUGAAUAGAUUUUUAGAUCUAUUUAGAAUAGAUUUUUUAUGUGUUUUGAAUCU
rnacentral:lncRNA from 1 species